GUAGGUGAACCUGCGGAAGGAUCAUUAUUGAAUAUUCUUGAUGGGUUGUAGCUGGCUCUCCGGAGCAUGUGCACGCCUGUCUUGACUUAAUUCAUCCACCUGUGCACUUUUUGUAGUCUUGGAGGUUGAGAGCGGUCGACUAUCGGAUGGCUGUUAUGGCCUUUCCGGAUGUGAGGAAUUGCUGAGUGCAAAAGCAUACAGCUCUUCUCAAAAUGACUCGCAAUACCUCUCCUUCAAGUACUAUGUAUUCAUAUACCACAUAGUAUGUUGUAGAAUGUGAUCAAUGGGCUUAUGGCCUAUAAUAAUGAAAUACAACUUUCAGCAACGGAUCUCUUGGCUCUC
rnacentral:misc_RNA from 1 species